rnacentral:rRNA from 1 species
GAUGAACGCUGGCGGCGUGCCUAAUACAUGCAAGUCGAGCGAACGGACGAGAAGCUUGCUUCUCUGAUGUUAGCGGCGGACGGGUGAGUAACACGUGGAUAACCUACCUAUAAGACUGGGAUAACUUCGGGAAACCGGAGCUAAUACCGGAUAAUAUUUUGAACCGCAUGGUUCAAAAGUGAAAGACGGUCUUGCUGUCACUUCUAGAUGGAUCCGCGCUGCAUUAGCUAGUUGGUAAGGUAACGGCUUACCAAGGCAACGAUGCAUAGCCGACCUGAGAGGGUGAUCGGCCACACUGGAACUGAGACACGGUCCAGACUCCAACGGGAGGCAGCAGUAGGGAAUCUUCCGCAAUGGGCGAAAGCCUGACGGAGCAACGCCGCGUGAGUGAUGAAGGUCUUCGGAUCGUAAAACUCUGUUAUUAGGGAAGAACAUAUGUGUAAGUAACUGUGCACAUCUUGACGGUACCUAAUCAGAAAGCCACGGCUAACUACGUG